rnacentral:rRNA from 1 species
GUGCCAGCCGCCGCGGUAAUACGGAAGGUGCAAGCGUUAAUCGGAAUUACUGGGCGUAAAGCGCGCGUAGGUGGUUUGUUAAGUUGGAUGUGAAAGCCUCGGGCUCAACCUGGGAACUGCAUCCAAAACUGGCGAGCUAGAGUAUGGCAGAGGGUGGUGGAAUUUCCUGUGUAGCGGUGAAAUGCGUAGAUAUAGGAAGGAACACCAGUGGCGAAGGCGACCACCUGGGCUAAUACUGACACUGAGGUGCGAAAGCGUGGGGAGCAAACAGGAUUAGAUACCAGAUCGGACGG